rnacentral:rRNA from 1 species
UACAGGGGGUGCAAACGUUGCUCGGAAUUAUUGGGCGUAAAGCGCGCGUAGGCGGCCACUUAAGUCGGAUGUGAAAGCCCCGGGCUCAACCUGGGAAUGGCGAUGGAUACUGGCUCGCUAGAGUGCGGUAGAGGAGAGUGGAAUUCCCGGUGUAGCAGUGAAAUGCGUAGAGAUCGGGAGGAACAUCAGUUGCGAAGGCGGCUCUCUGGACCAGCACUGACACUGAGGCACGAAAGCGUGGGGAGCGAACAGG